CACGCCGUAAACGAUGAAUACUAGGUGUCGGGUGGCAGAGCCAUUCGGUGCCGUCGCAAACGCAGUAAGUAUUCCACCUGGGGAGUACGUUCGCAAGAAUGAAACUCAAAGGAAUUGACG
rnacentral:rRNA from 1 species